AUUGAACGCUGGCGGCAGGCCUAACACAUGCAAGUCGAACGAGUGGCGGACGGGUGAGUAAUGUCUGGGAAACUGCCUGAUGGAGGGGGAUAACUACUGGAAACGGUAGCUAAUACCGCAUACCAUCGGAUGUGCCCAGAUGGGAUUAGCUAGUAGGUGGGGUAAUGGCUCACCUAGGCGACGUUCCCUAGCUGGUCUGAGAGGAUGACCAGCCACACGGUAACGUGGACACGGUCCGAGUUCGUACGGAAGGCAGCAGUGGGGAAUAUUGCACAAUGGGCGCGAGCCGGAUGCAGCCAGGCCGCGUGGGUGAAGAAGGCCUUCGGGUUGUAAAGCACUUUCAGCGAGGAGGCGUUACUCGCAGAAGAAGCACCGGCUAACUCCGUGCCAGGAGCCGCGGUAAUAC
rnacentral:rRNA from 1 species